rnacentral:rRNA from 1 species
UAGGGAAUCUUCGGCAAUGGACGAAAGUCUGACCGAGCAACGCCGCGUGAGUGAAGAAGGUUUUCGGAUCGUAAAACUCUGUUGUUAGAGAAGAACAAGGACGUUAGUAACUGAACGUCCCCUGCCGGUAUCUAACCAGAAAGCCACGGCUAACUACGUGCCAGCAGCCGCGGUAAUACGUAGGUGGCAAGCGUUGUCCGGAUUUAUUGGGCGUAAAGCGAGCGCAGGCGGUUUCUUAAGUCUGAUGUGAAAGCCCCCGGCUCAACCGGGGAGGGUCAUUGGAAACUGGGAGACUUGAGUGCAGAAGAGGAGAGUGGAAUUCCAUGUGUAGCGGUGAAAUGCGUAGAUAUAUGGAGGAACACCGGUGGCGAAGGCGGCUCUCUGGUCAGUAACUGACGCUGAGGCUCGAAAGCGUGGGGAGCAAACAGG